CUGUUAUGGCUAGGGGGUCAUCGCGACUUACCAAACCAUUGCAAACUCCGAAUACCGAGACGGACUGUAUGGGAGACACACGGCGGGUGCUAACGUCCGUCGUGAAAAGGGAAACAACCCAGAUCCACAGCUAAGGUCCCAAAUUCACUGCUAAGUGGAAAACGAUGUGGAAAGGCAUAGACAGCCAGGAGGUUGGCUUAGAAGCAGCCACCCUUUAAAGAAAGCGUAAUAGCUCACUGGU
rnacentral:rRNA from 1 species